AACUCUGCGCAUAACUAGAGCCCACCCCCCACACACCUUGGGAAAGAAAAGACCACAGGUGUCAACAUGUGUUGGAAAAGUUAUUAGAAUUCUGCCUUCAAUCCAUCACAAACCUACAGAUAUUUCAUUCUUUACAAAUUGAAGGUUUGUGGCAGACCUCUCCCAGCAAGUCUAUUGGAACCAUCUUUCCAACAGCAUUUGCUCACCUUAUUUUGCUUUGUCACAGUGUGGUAAUUCUUAAAACAGUGUGGGAGAUAGUGAAGGACAUUACUGCCGUGCUGCCGAUCAUGGGGUCACAAACAGUGAGACAUGGCUUACCAACUGAACAACAAUGACAACACAUCAGUGUUAAAAAUUAAAACUUUUUAAAUCGCAUAUACUAUUAGUAAGCUAGAACUGCAUUCUUUAUUUAUAUUUCCAUGUAAGUAUUGUAUAAAUGCAUUAGAACAAGCUCCAUUUGUCAAGGACACUAAAAGAUUAACUGGAAUGUGAAAUGGCAGAUUCAUAUGUCUAUCUGUAUACACUCUUCCCAUCUUCAAGGAAAC
ensembl:lncRNA